AGUGAACGCCGGCGGCGUGCUUAACACAUGCAAGUCGAACGAGAACGGAUUAUAGCUUGCUAUAAUUGUCAGCUAAGUGGCGCACGGGUGAGUAAUGUAUAGGUAAUAUGCCUCUUACUAAGGGAUAACAAAUGGAAACGUUUGCUAAUACCUUAUACUCCUUAUUAACAGAAGUUAAUAAGGGAAAGAUUUAUUGGUAAGAGAUUAGCCUGUAUUGUAUCAGUUAGUUGGGGGGGUAAUGGCUUACCAAGACUAUGAAACAUAACUGGUUGGAGAGAUUAAGCAGUCACCAGGGACCUGAGACACGGUCAAGACGCCGAGGGGGGGCAGCAGUGGGGAAUAUUACACAAUGAACGAAAGUCUGAUGCGGCAACGCCGCUUGGAGGUUGAAAAAUUCCGGUGCGUAAACUCCUUUUAUAUGAGAAGAUAAAGACGGUAUUAUAGCAAUAAGCACCGGCUAACACCGUGCAAGCCGCCGCGGUAA
rnacentral:rRNA from 1 species